UACGUAGGGUGCGAGCGUUAAUCGGAAUUACUGGGCGUAAAGCGUGCGCAGGCGGUUUGUUAAGACAGAUGUGAAAUCCCCGGGCUUAACCUGGGAAUUGCGCUUGAAACUAGCGGGCUUGAGUGUGGCAGAGGGGGGUGGAAUUCCACGUGUAGCAGUGAAAUGCGUAGAGAUGUGGAGGAACACCGAUGGCGAAGGCAGCCCCCUGGGUCAACACUGACGCUCGAUGCACGAAAGCGUGGGGAGCAAACAGG
rnacentral:rRNA from 1 species